AUCGAACGCUGGCGGCAGGCUUAACACAUGCAAGUCGAACGAGUGGCGGACGGGUGAGGAAUGCUCGGGAAUCUGGCCUAUGGAGGGGGAUAACGACGGGAAACUGUCGCUAAUAUCGCGACGCAUAGGCUGGGCCCCAGUGGGCGUAGGUAGUUGGUGGGGUAAUGGCCUGCCAAGCCGGCGAUCUCUAGCUGAACUGAGAGGAUGACCGGCCGCACCGGGACUGAGACACGGCCCGUGGUCCUGCGGGAGGCAGCAGUGGGGAAUAUUGCGCAAUGGGGGCAACCUGGCGCAGCCGUGCCGCGUGAAUGAAGAAAGCCUUCGGGUUGUAAAGUUCUUUCGCUGACGGGGCGUUAGUCACAGAAGAAGCACCGGCUAACUCCGUGCCAGCAGCCGCGGUAAUAC
rnacentral:rRNA from 1 species